GUUUCUUCAUUCCAUUCAUUCAUUCAUUCUUUCCUCUCUUUCUUUAGUUUGUGUACUUUUAUGGGUUUGAGAGAAAAUAUUGCAGUGCAGAAAGCAACACUGAAAUCUCCACAAGGUUUUCUUGAAACUUUUAGCAUGUAUGAGUGGAGUACUAAGUCAACAAGCUUCAAGCUGCCAAAGGCUGCAAAAACUGGAAAGUAUAAGCCUAAUGGCAUCUUUAGUAUUGCUCCUUAGUCAAGGCCUUGUCUUCCUCAUGAUGAGGGUGGCGUCCUCAUCUUAAUCUCGGUGCUAUCCUACCUGAGCUUUCUCACCACCUUUUCUCGUUUUUCUGUUUUCUUUUCUCUCUUUUUUCGAUUUUUUGACUUGUUGCCUUUCAUUCCUUCACCUACCCGAGUCUUCUUGACCUUGUAAGACCUUUUCUUGACCUUGUAAGACCCCGUGAUUUGUGUUACGUUUUUGUGUUUUGUGUUGUCGCAAAUCUUACAUCAUGACUUCUCGAUGUAAGAUUUGUUUAGUGUCCAUCUCCAUUCCCGCCCAACUCACGUUCUCCUUCCUUGUCUAUCCCUCCUGAGCUAUUAUUCCAUGUAAAAUUGCACAGCAAAAAGAUUUGAAUUCAUGAAGCAUGAUCAGAAGAAAGAGAACUAUUUGCUAUCAAGAAUGGUAUUCAAGUAAAUUCAUGUGAUUAUUUAUAUACCCUUUUGAUCCUUUUCGUGGGGGUUAUGAAUGUCAAUUUGGAAUAAACAUUGUACUAAA